UACGUAGGGUGCAAGCGUUGUCCGGAAUUAUUGGGCGUAAAGAGCGUGUAGGCGGCCAGAUAAGUCCGCUGUGAAAUCUCGAGGCUCAACUUCGAGCUGUCGGUGGAAACUAUCUGGCUAGAGUCCGGAAGAGGAGAAUGGAAUUCCUGGUGUAGCGGUGAAAUGCGCAGAUAUCAGGAAGAACACCCGUGGCGAAGGCGGCUCUCUGGACGGUGACUGACGCUGAGACGCGAAAGCGUGGGGAGCAAACAGG
rnacentral:rRNA from 1 species